GACGAACGCUGGCGGCGUGCUUAACACAUGCAAGUCGAACGGAAAGGCCCUGCUUUUGUGGGGUGCUCGAGUGGCGAACGGGUGAGUAACACGUGAGUAACCUGCCCUUGACUUUGGGAUAACUUCAGGAGACUGGGGCUAAUACCGGAUAGGAGCUCCUGCUGCAUGGUGGGGGUUGGAAAGUUUCGGCGGUUGGGGGUGGACUCGCGGCUUAUCAGCUUGUUGGUGGGGUAGUGGCUUACCAAGGCUUUGACGGGUAGCCGGCCUGAGAGGGUGACCGGCCACAUUGGGACUGAGAUACGGCCCAGACUCCUACGGGAGGCAGCAGUGGGGAAUAUUGCACAAUGGGCGGAAGCCUGAUGCAGCAACGCCGCGUGCGGGAUGACGGCCUUCGGGUUGUAAACCGCUUUCGCCUGUGACGAAGCGUGAGUGACGGUAAUGGGUAAAGAAGCACCGGCUAACUACGUG
rnacentral:rRNA from 1 species